rnacentral:lncRNA from 1 species
UUUUUCCUUGCAAUCCCAUAUCAUCUAGAUUUCCCAUGGAAAUCAGAUUCCUAUUUAAUUCAGGAACAUACCUCACCCUUUCAAGAGUGUAAAUAUAUCCAUUAUCGAAUUUCAAAGUGACAUUCCCAACUCCCUCAACUCUGCAGGCUACAUUAUUGCCCAUAACCACUUCUCAUCCAUCAAUUUUCUUAAAAUUGUUUAAAUAUGCCUUCUUAAGGUCAUAUGGAAGGUACAACCAGAAUCCAAGAUCCAUUCUUGGUUCUGAUUCUCAUCAACAACAUUUGCAGAGCUAGGUAAAUUUUCAGUCACAGCAUAUACAUCAACUGUAGCAGAACCUUCAGAUUCUACCACAUUACCUUCAUCAACACCC